GGACCCGGGCUGCGUGCUUACCAUGCAAGUCGAACGCUGAAGCCUGGUGCUUGCACCGGGUGGAUGAGUGGCGAACGGGUGAGUAACACGUGAGUAACCUGCCCCUGACUUCGGGAUAAGCCCGGGAAACUGGGUCUAAUACCGGAUACGACUGCCGGACGCAUGUCUGGUGGUGGAAAGUUUUUUCGGUUGGGGAUGGGCUCGCGGCCUAUCAGUUUGUUGGUGAGGUAAUGGCUCACCAAGACGACGACGGGUAGCCGGCCUGAGAGGGCGACCGGCCACACUGGGACUGAGACACGGCCCAGACUCCUACGGGAGGCAGCAGUGGGGAAUAUUGCACAAUGGGGGAAACCCUGAUGCAGCGACGCAGCGUGCGGGAUGACGGCCUUCGGGUUGUAAACCGCUUUCAGCAGGGAAGAAGCGCAAGUGACGGUACCUGCAGAAGAAGUACCGGCUAACUACGUGCCAGCAGCCGCGGUAAUACGUAGGGUACGAGCGUUGUCCGGAAUUAUUGGGCGUAAAGAGCUCGUAGGUGGUUGGUCACGUCUGCUGUGGAAACGCCAACGCUUAACGUUGCGCGUGCAGUGGGUACCGGGCUGACUAGAGUGGCAGUAGGGGAGUCUGGAAAUUCCUGGUGUAGCGGUGAAAUGCGCAGAUAUCAGGGAGGAACACCGGUGGCGAAGGCGGGACUCUGGGCUGUAACUGACACUGAGGAGCGAAAGCAUGGGGAGCGAACAGGAUUAGAUACCCUGGUAGUCCAUGCCGUAAACGUUGGGCACUAGGUGUGGGGGGCAUUCCACGUUCUCCGCGCCGUAGCUAACGCAUUAAGUGCCCCGCCUGGGGAGUACGGUCGCAAGGCUAAAACUCAAAGGAAUUGACGGGGGGCCCGCACAAGCGGCGGAGCAUGCGGAUUAAUUUCGAUGCAACGCGAAGAACCUUACCAAGGCUUUGACAUACACCGGACCGUCCUGGAAACAGGUCCUCUUCUUUGAAGCUGGUGUACAGGUGGCGCAUGGAUGUCGACAGACUCGCGACGUCAGAUGUUGGGUUAAGUCCCGCAACGAGCGCAACCCUCGUUCUAUGUUGCCAGCACGUGAUGGUGGGAACUCAUAGGAGACUGCCGGGGUCAACUCGGAGGAAGGUGGGGAUGACGUCAAAUCAUCAUGCCCUUUAUGUCUUGGGCUUCACGCAUGCUACAAUGGCUGGUACAGAGAGAGGCGAACCCGUGAGGGCAAGCGAAUCCCUUAAAGCCAGUCUCAGUUCGGAUCGUAGUCUGCAAUUCGACUACGUGAAGUCGGAGUCGCUAGUAAUCGCAGAUCAGCAACGCUGCGGUGAAUACGUUCCCGGGCCUUGUACACACCGCCCGUCAAGUCACGAAAGUCGGUAACACCCGAAGCUCGGUGGCCUAACCGUAAGGAGGGGGCCGUCUAAGGGGGACGGGUC
rnacentral:rRNA from 1 species